CUUCAGCGAGCCGAGCCACAGCGGCCGGCCCUCCGGCCGGUCCUGGCCGUACGCGGCGAGCAGCGCCUCGGCCUC
rnacentral:antisense_RNA from 1 species